UGUCAGCCGCCGCGGUAAUACGGAGGGUGCAAGCGUUACUCGGAAUCACUGGGCGUAAAGGACGCGUAGGCUGUCUAGCAAGUCAGAUGUGAAAUCCAAUGGCUCAACCAUUGAACUGCAUUUGAAACUGCUAGGCUAGAGUAUGGGAGGGGGAGAUGGAAUUAGUGGUGUAGGGGUAAAAUCCGUAGAUAUCACUAGGAAUACCGAAAGCGAAGGCGAUCUCCUGGAACAUUACUGACGCUGAGGCGUGAAAGCGUGGGGAGCAAACAGGAUUAGAUACCCUGGUAGUCCACGCCCUAAACGAUGAACACUAGUCGUCGGGAUGCUCGUCAUCUCGGUGAUGCACUUAACAGAUUAAGUGUUCCGCCUGGGGAGUACGGUCGCAAGAUUAAAACUUAAAGAAAUUGACGG
rnacentral:rRNA from 1 species